GACGAGGGCGCGAGCGUUGUCCGGAUUUAUUGGGCGUAAAGAGCUCGUAGGCGGCUUGUCGCGUCGACCGUGAAAACUUGGGGCUCAACCCCAAGCCUGCGGUCGAUACGGGCAGGCUCGAGUUCGGUAGGGGAGACUGGAAUUCCUGGUGUAGCGGUGAAAUGCGCAGAUAUCAGGAGGAACACCGAUGGCGAAGGCAGGUCUCUGGGCCGAUACUGACGCUGAGGAGCGAAAGCGUGGGGAGCGAACAGG
rnacentral:rRNA from 1 species